GCGUGAGUGAUGAAGGCCUUAGGGUUGUAAAGCUCUUUCAGCGAGGAGGAUAAUGACGUUACUCGCAGAAGAAGCCCCGGCUAACUUCGUGCCAGCAGCCGCGGUAAUACGAAGGGGGCUAGCGUUGUUCGGAAUCACUGGGCGUAAAGCGCACGUAGGCGGAUUGGUCAGUUAGGGGUGAAAUCCCAGAGCUCAACUCUGGAACUGCCUUUAAUACUGCCAGUCUUGAGUCCGAGAGAGGUGAGUGGAACUCCGAGUGUAGAGGUGAAAUUCGU
rnacentral:rRNA from 1 species